ensembl:lncRNA
AUGGACCCACACAUGCAGAGAUCCCCCAUACUCAGGCACAUACAUUUAUAUACCUGCUGGGUGCUCACAGAUAUUCAGAGCUCCCCAAACUCAGGCACACACAUGUACACACCUGCUCUGUGCUCACACACACCUGCAGAGACCCCACACCUAGGCACACACAUGUACACACCUGCUCUAUGCUCACACACACCUGCAGAGACACCAGACCUAGGCACACACAUGUACACACCAGCUCUGUGCUCACACACACCUGCAGAGACCCCACACCUAGGCACACACAUGUACGCACCUGCUCUGUGCUUACACACACAUGCAGAGACCCCACACCUAGGCACACACAUGUACACACCUGCUCUGUGCUCACACACACCUGCAGAGACACCAGACCUAGGCACACACAUGUACGCACCAACUCUGUGCUCACACACACCUGCAGAGACACCAGACCUAGGCACACACAUGUACGCACCUGCUCUGUGCUCACACACACCUUCAGAGACCCCACACCUAGGCACACACAUGUACACACCUGCUCUGUGCUCACACACACCUGCAGAGACCCCACACCUAGGCACACACAUGUACACACCAGCUCUAUGCUCACACACACCUGCAGAGACACCAGACCUAGGCACACACAUGUACACACCUGCUAAGUGCUCACACACACCUGCAGAGACACCAGACCUAGGCACACACAUGUACACACCUGCUCUGUGCUCACACACACCUGCAGAGACCCCACACCUAGGCACACACAUGUACACACCAGCUCUGUGCUCACACUCACCUGCAGAGACCCCACACCUAGGCACACACAUGUACACACCUGCUAAGUGCUCACACUCACCUUCAGAGACCCCACACCUAGGCACACACAUGUACACACCUGCUAAGUGCUCACACACACCUGCAGAGACCCCACACCUAGGCACACACAUGUACACACCUGCUCUGUGCUCACACACACCUGCAGAGACCCCACACCUAGGCACACACAUGUACAUACCUGCUCUGUGCUCACACACAUGUGCAGAGCCCCCCAUACUCAGACACAUACAAGUACACACCAGCUUUGUGCUCAUACACAUGUAUAGAGCCACCCAAAUUCAGACACACAGAUGUACACACCUGCUCACACAUACGGUGUACCUCCACGCUCAGGCACAUGCCCACGCCUGGGUUUUCUGA